AGAAAAGUGCCUCCUGUCUCUCUGUCCUCGUCCUUUCAGGUUUAGGACCUGCUGGCGGGAUCCUGACGUUGCUGCUCGCGACAAGCCAUCCCCCUCCUUAGAAGGGAAGAGCCACAACCCCAGGAUUUCCUGGGUUCCCUCUCUAGGACUCAGAGGCCAGCUCACCAGCAGUGGAUCACUCAAACCCAGAACAGAGACAGCAGAAGGGCAGCUGAGUAAACAGGAUCAUCUGUAUGAGUGAUUCCUUCCUUACAAUCUGACAGAAAGUACUCUGAUUCCUCGUUAAAUGAUUGGGAGAUCUCCAUAGUAACAAAUUACAUCAGAACAUGGGAGCAAGAGUCAUGGCCAGCUUAAUGUGAGAAACAUCAUCUAGCAAGAAUGAAAGACCCUCCAGGGAUGGAUACCAGUGAUACCUGGCAGCUGUUCUCCUGUCUCAAAAGCUUUGGUGACAAAUACAACCUUCUUCAAGGGGGAAUAAAGCAGCAGCAGCAGGACGGGCCGGGGAUUUAGCUCCGUGGUUCCAGCGCCUGCCUCGCAAAUGCAAGGAUCCGUUGGAUCCCCAGUUCUAGAAGCGGGCCUCUUACUGCUGGAUGUGUCGCUACCUGGUGCGGGGGAAGAAGCAGAGAGCCCACUACCCAGUGGGGGAGGGAACGGGGUAGAACGGAGUUUAAAAUGCGUGAAGUAAGAAAUGUUAAAAAUGUCUCUGUCAUAACCUGAAACUUG